GUAGCUGGCCUUACGAGGCAUGUGCACGCCCUGCUCAUCCGCUCUACACCUGUGCACUUACUGUGGGUUACAGACGGUGAAGCGGGCUCCUUACGGGGAGCUUGUGAAGCGUGUCUGUGCCUGCGUUUACCACAAACUCUUUAAAGUAUUAGAAUGUGUAUUGCGGAUGUAACGCAUCUAUAUACAACUUUCAACAACGGAUCUCUUGGCUCUCGCAUCGAUGAAAAACGCAGCGAAAUGCGAUAAGUAAUGUGAAUUGCAAAAUUCAGUGAAUCAUCGAAUCUUUGAACGCACCUUGCGCUCCUUGGUAUUCCGAGGAGCAUGCCUGUUUGAGUGUCAUGAAAUCUUCAACCUGCAAGCUUUUAAUCAGUUUGUAGGCUUGGAUUUGGAGGGUAUUGUCGGCCUUUAUCGGUCGGCUCCUCUUAAAUGUAUUAGCUUGGUUCCUUGCGGAUCGGCUUGUCGGUGUGAUAAUGUCUACGCCGCGACCGUGAAGCGUUUGGGCAAGCUUCCAACUGUCUCACUUUAGAGACAACCUUAUGACCUCUGACCUCAAAUCAAGUACGACUACCCGCUGAACUUAAGCAUAUCAAUAAGCGGAGGAAAAGAAACUAACAAGGAUUCCCCUAGUAACUGCGAGUGAAGCGGGAAAAGCUCAAAUUUAAAAUCUGGCGGUCUUUGGCCGUCCGAGUUGUAGUCUGGAGAAGUGCUUUCCGCGCUGGACC
rnacentral:rRNA from 1 species